rnacentral:piRNA from 1 species
UGGGUAGCAGUACAGAGGCUGGGAGG